UAGGAUUUUUCUGGUACAGAACAGAAUUCAUGUUUCCCUCAAUACUUACAAGUUGCAGAGGCCCUGAAGUAGCAAAGCAACCCCACACCAUCACACUUCCACCACCAUGCUUGACCAUAAGUAUGAUAUCUUUUUUGUGGAAUUGUGUGUUUGUUUAACACCUUAUGUAACGGGACCCCUGUCUUCCAAAGAGUUCCACCUUGAACUCCACAGAACAUUAUCCCAAAAAUGGCAAAAUUCAGAUAAGCCUUAAUGUUCUUCUGGGUUAGCUAUGGUUUUCACCUCGCCAUUUUUCCAUGGAUGCCAUAUUUCCCUAGGGUCUUUCAGAUAGUAGAGUCAUGAACAGUGACCUUUAUUGAUGCAAGAGAGGCCUGUAAUGCUUUUGAUGUUGUCCUUGGCUCGUUUGUGAAUUCCUGGAUGAGUAGUUGCUGUGCUCUUGGAGGAAUUUUGGAAGGUCGGCCACUUCUGGGAAGGUUCACUACUGUGCAGAGUUUUUUCCCCCCAUUUUGAGAUAAUGCCUCUCACUGUAGUUCUUUAGAGUCCCAGAGCCUUAGAAAUAGCUUUGUAACCCUUCCCAAACUAAUGUUCAAUCACCUUCUUCACCUUCAUUACAUUAAAUGUAACGUAAUAAAUGUAAUGUAAUGUAACUUCAUGCUGUUGAAAAAGUUCUAUGAAGCGUUGAUUUGAUUGAACAGAGUUUGCAGUAAUCGGGCCUGGUUGCAUCUAGUCCAGCUGAAACCCAUUAUGAAUUAAGUGUUAUAGAUUUGGGGACUUAGUAACUACAGGGGCAAAUACAUUUUCACACAGGCACAGUUGGUAUUGGAUAACUUUUUUUGCUUCAAUAAAUAACAUUAUCAUUUAAAAACUGUAUUUUGUGUUUACUCAGGUUGCCUCUUUUGUCUUAGAUUUUGUUUUAAUUUCAGAACCAAUUUAGUCCGAGAUAUACACAAAACAUAAGAAAUCAGAAUGGGGCAAAUACUUUUUCACAGCACUGUAUUUAUUUGUUUAUUUAUUCAAAUAUAAAAUACUCAAAUUAACACAAAACAUUCUUAUUAGUAGUAAUUAUAACAAAUAAUUACAUUAUUUACCACAUUAAACUGAUAUUAAAUACAUAGAGCCAAAAUGGGAUGUGACUGUGAUUAACAGCUGCAGUGCUGCACUCAACACUGCUUCUCCGUAAUAUUUAUGCAAAUCUCCUCCUCCUUUUGUAAUAUUAGCACCGUGCUUAUCUAGAGAAGAAGCAGUUCUCAUUAAUCCUCCUUCAACACAAACAUGUUUGCUUCAGCUCCACUGCUGCUGCUGGCUCUCGCCCCCUAUGUGUUCUGUGCUACUGAGCUCAUCCAGCCAGACUCAGUGGUUAUAAAGCCAGGAGAGACUUUAACCAUCACCUGUAGAGUGUCUGGAGCUUCUAUCACUGAUAGCAGCAGCCACUUUGGAACAGCUUGGAUUCGACAACCUGCAGGAAAAGCUCUGGAAUGGAUCAACACCAUUGAUUAUGAUGGGGAUAUUUAUGAGAAAGAUUCACUCAAAGACAAGUUUGUUGUCUCUCGAGACAUUUCCAGUAACACUCUGACCUUACGGGGACAGAACAUGCAGACUGAAGACACAGCUGUGUAUUACUGUGCUCGUGAUCCACAUUGACAUGACAAGCUGCAGCGCUGCACAAAAACAUCAUAUUCAUAACAAUUUAGUUCUGUAUUUAAAUAAUAACUAGCUACAUUUAACUGACUGAGUAAUGUCCACAUCACACCUCAAUGCCUAGAUAUAAGGAUACAUUUCAGUCAUGAAUGUACAGAAAAUAAAGUAAUUAUAAAAAGUUAUAUGUAAAGAGAGAGAGAGAGAGAGAGAGAGCGAGCGAGAGAGAGGAGAGGAGAGAGAGAGAGAGAGAGAGAGAGAGAGAGAGCGCUGAAUGGUCCUUCAGAAUUUUUUUUUCUCAUUAAACCAGUUGCUGACUAGUCACAUAAAUAGUUGAAUAAAGUACACCCAGA